rnacentral:rRNA from 1 species
AGCGAACGCUGGCGGCAGGCCUAACACAUGCAAGUCGAACGAACUCUUCGGAGUUAGUGGCGGACGGGUGAGUAACACGUGGGAACGUGCCUUUAGGUUCGGAAUAACUCAGGGAAACUUGUGCUAAUACCGAAUGUGCCCUUCGGGGGAAAGAUUUAUCGCCUUUAGAGCGGCCCGCGUCUGAUUAGCUAGUUGGUGAGGUAACGGCUCACCAAGGCGACGAUCAGUAGCUGGUCUGAGAGGAUGGCCAGCCACACUGGGACUGAGACACGGCCCAGACUCCUACGGGAGGCAGCAGUGGGGAAUCUUGCGCAAUGGGCGAAAGCCUGACGCAGCCAUGCCGCGUGAAUGAUGAAGGUCUUAGGAUUGUAAAAUUCUUUCACCGGGGACGAUAAUGACGGUACCCGGAGAAGAAGCCCCGGCUAACUUCGUGCCAGCAGCCGCCGUAA